rnacentral:rRNA from 1 species
CGCCUUGCCAGCCCGCUCAGAAACUACAAAGGAAUUGACGGGGGCCCGCACAAGCGGUGGAGCAUGUGGUUUAAUUCGAUGAUACGCGAGGAACCUUACCUGGGCUCAAAUGUAUGUUGACGUAUUCUGAAAGGGAUACUUCUUCGGACAAUAUACAAGGUGCUGCAUGGUUGUCGUCAGCUCGUGCCGUGAGGUGUCGGGUUAAGUCCCAUAACGAGCGCAACCCCUAUCAUUAGUUGCCAUCAGGUCAAGCUGGGGACUCUAAUGAAACUGCCUACGCAAGUAGUGAGGAAGGUGGGGAUGACGUCAAAUCAGCACGGCCCUUACGUCCAGGGCUACACACGUGCUACAAUGGCCGGUACAAAGGGCAGCUACCUGGUGACAGGAUGCUAAUCUCAAAAGCCGGUCUCAGUUCGGAUCGGAGUCUGCAACCCGACUCCGUGAAGUUGGAAUCGCUAGUAAUCGUGGAUCAGCAUGCCACGGUGAAUACGUUCCCGGGCCUU